rnacentral:pre_miRNA from 1 species
UGACGACGAUGAUGAUGAUGAUGACAGUGAUGACGAUGAUGAUGAUGAUCAUCAUCAUCAUCAGCAUCGUCAUCAUCAUCAUAUAUA